rnacentral:rRNA from 5 species
UAGGUUAACGAGGCGAACCGGGGGAACUGAAACAUCUAAGUACCCCGAGGAAAAGAAAUCAACCGAGAUUCCCCCAGUAGCGGCGAGCGAACGGGGAGCAGCCCAGAGUCUGAAUCAGCUUGUGUGUUAGUGGAACGGUCUGGAAAGUCCGACGGUACAGGGUGAUAGUCCCGUACACCAAAAUGCACAGGUUGUGAACUCGAAGAGUAGGGCGGGACACGUGGUAUCCUGUCUGAAUAUGGGGGGACCAUCCUCCAAGGCUAAAUACUCCUGACUGACCGAUAGUGAACCAGUACCGUGAGGGAAAGGCGAAAAGAACCCCGGCGAGGGGAGUGAAAAAGAACCUGAAACCGUGUACGUACAAGCAGUGGGAGCACCUUCGGGUGUGACUGCGUACCUUUUGUAUAAUGGGUCAGCGACUUAUAUUCUGUAGCAAGGUUAACCGUAUAGGGGAGCCGCAGGGAAACCGAGUCUUAACUGGGCGUUAAGUUGCAGGGUAUAGACCCGAAACCCGGUGAUCUAGCCAUGGGCAGGUUGAAGGUUGGGUAACACUAACUGGAGGACCGAACCGACUAAUGUUGAAAAAUUAGCGGAUGACUUGUGGCUGGGGGUGAAAGGCCAAUCAAACCGGGAGAUAGCUGGUUCUCCCCGAAAGCU